rnacentral:tRNA from 1 species
AAAUAAGAAGCAAAUUUUAUUGCAUUUAAUUUCGACUUAAAAAAAAGAGUAAAUUUUUACUCCUUAUUUA